rnacentral:rRNA from 1 species
AUUGAACGCUGGCGGCAAGCCUAACACAUGCAAGUCGAACGAGUGGCGGACGGGUGAGUAAUGUCUGGGAAACUGCCUGCUGGAGGGGGAUAACUACUGGAAACUGUCGCUAAUACCGCAUACCAUCUGAUGUGCCCAGAUGGGAUUAGAUAGUAGGUGGGGUAAAGGCUCACCUAGGCGACGAUCCCUAGCUGGUCUGAGAGGCUGACCAUCGCCACUGGAACUGAGAAACGGUCCAGACUCCUCCGGGAGGCAGCAGUGGGGAAUAUUGCACAAUGUGCGCAAGCCUGAUGAAGCCAUGCCGCGUGUAUGAAGAAGGCCUUCGGGUUGUAAAGUACUUUCAGCGGGGAGGCGUUACCCGCAGAAGAGGCACCGGCUAACUCCGUGCCAGCAGCCGCGGUAAUAC